GCAGUGCCCACAUCUACGAUACUUUAUAUACUGACAAGUCCUGUCACUACAAAGACAAACAUUCAAAGUUUGCUCAAUAAUUAUUUGGAUUUUAAGGGAUUUCCAGAAUAAGCAGCAAUCAACAUAAAGGUAUCACAUAUAUCAACAUUAUAGCAUUUCCUGAUGAAGGCAUGAGGCUCUGCAAAAAUGACAAUUACCAUGUUGUCACAUCAUCUGUCACCUCCUUCGAGAUCCCCAAGUUUAUGGAAACAUGAAAUAUCGAAGGCUAAGAGUCCUGUCCUCCCAGGUUUAGUCAGAUUAGCACCUGAAUGCAGCAAUCCAUACGGAGACAACUGCUCAGUGACUGGUGUCCCCCCCUGGAGCCCCCCGAGCAGGUGUGUAACUGCACGUACUGGGGCAGAGCAGUACUUGGAGGGGUCUCACCCACUUGAUGCCCACGCUGACCAUACCAUUUUCAUUCUCUGACAUAAAAAUUUUAACACUAAAUUCAUGAUAUUCUAAUAAUUCUAGUGUUAUCACCAUUACAAAAGUAAA